rnacentral:rRNA from 1 species
AUUGAACGCUGGCGGCAGGCCUAACACAUGCAAGUCGAGCGAGCGGGGGGCGGGUGAGUAAUGUAUGGGGACCGCGUGAUGGAGGGAGAUAAAUAGUGAAAAGGGUAUAUAACCCCGCACACUCUCAGAUCACCCAUCUGGGUUUAGCUUGUAGGUGGGGUAACGGCUCACCUAGGAGACGAUCCCUAGCUGGUCUGAGAGGAUGAUCAGCCACACUGGGACUGAGACACGGCCCAGACUCCUACGGAGGCAGCAGUGGGGAAUAUUGCACAAUGGGCGCAAGCCUGAUGCAGCCAUGCCGCGUGUAUGAAGAAGGCCUUAGGGUUGUAAAGUACUUUCAGUCGGGAGGCGUUACCGACAGAAGAAGCACCGGCUAACUCCGUGCCAGCAGCCGCGGUAAUAC